UACGAGAGGCCCAAACGUUAUUCGGAUUUACUGGGCUUAAAGAGUUCGUAGGCGGUGCAGAAAGUGGGGUGUGAAAGCCCUCGGCUCAACCGAGGAAUUGCGCUCCAAACUACUGUACUAGAGGAAGCUAGAGGUGAGCAGAACUGAUGGUGGAGCGGUGAAAUGCGUUGAUAUCAUCAGGAAUACCGGAGGCGAAGGCGGCAUCCUGACCAUUACUGACGCUGAGGCGCGAAAGCUAGGGGAGCAAACGGG
rnacentral:rRNA from 1 species